GGCAUCGUGGCUCAGUGGUAGAGCGUCCGCCUCAUGAACGGGAGGUCGUGGGUUCGAUCCCCAGCCGAGUCAUACCA
rnacentral:tRNA from 1 species